rnacentral:misc_RNA from 1 species
CGGAAGCACGGUGCCGGAUAACGUCCGGCGAGGGUGACCUCAGGGAAAGUGCCACAGAAAGCAAACCGCUCCGCUCGCGGAGUAAGGGUGAAAGGGUGGGGUAAGAGCCCACCGCGGACAUGGCGACAUGGACGGCACGGUAAACCCCACCGGGAGCAAGACCGAAUAGGGAUGACGCGGGCGCGCAAGCGCUCAGCCUGUUUCCGGGCCAGUCAUCCGGGUGGGUUGCAAGAGGCUGCGUGCAAGCGCAGUCCCAGAUGAAUGGCUGCCACGUUCCGUUGCCUUCGGGUGGCGGGG